rnacentral:lncRNA from 1 species
CAGUAGCUGGGAUUGCAGACAUGGGCCACCACACCCGGCUCAUUUUUGUAUUUUUAGUAGAGAUGGGGUUUUGCCACGUUGGCCAGGCUGGUCCCGAACUCCUGGCCUCAAGUGAUCCUCUCAUCUUGACAUCCCAAAGUGCUGGGAUUACAAGCAUGAGCCACCAGGCCCAGACACUUCCAAGUCUUUAUUUAUUAAAUUGACGGUACCCAGGACACACGCCAUUGCCCCAGCUGCAAACCUGCUUCUCCUUCUGUAUCACCCGCUGCUCAGAUCCGCUUGUCCCACCUCCCUGUCAUCAGCAAGUUCUCUUUGGUCACGUUUCUCAAAGUAUAUACUGAAAGCUGUCUAUCAUUACUGUCAGAGCUUUGGACAAUCUCUUGCUACACUAACAUGGGUAAUUUCAGUAGUCUCCAAACAGAUCUUGUUAUCUCUGCUCUUGCUCACCUUAAUCCAUCUUCCACACGGCUACAGGAACGCCUUCUCCAAAGCACAGAAACUGCUCCUCGGAUACCCUUCCCACUUGCUAACAUGCACCGUAAUGGCCUAGAGAUGCACAUUACAACUAGCAAGGGUGAGCUCCUGUGUAGCGUGGUCUCCUUCCUCUCUCAGACAUAUCGUAGAGAAGAUGGACCUUUCCUUCCGCCAUCUCUGCUAGUCGAUGAUGUUUGAGCUCUUCGUUGGGGAAGACGUCAGCCGUUGAUUCACUGCAGUUGCCAACCAUUGAAUCAGGUAGAGUAUGUUCCCCUCUUAUAAAGGGAAGUUUUCGGUAAAUCAGAUAUGAUGAUGGGCAUGACUUUGGAAGUAUCAAGUGACCAACGUCAUGGUUCCAUAGCAGGUUCACUUUCCUCUCUUCCCAAGAAUAAAAGUUGUGCUGCCACACUCUCAGGAAAUUCCCUGAAGGACUCAGAAAAAUGGACAGAUUUAAUCUGGUAUAAAAAAGCAUGCAUCCAUUUCCAACAAAUAUAUCACGACUUCUCAGAGUAGGGAAAUACUGUACAUAUCAGAAAUGUGGUGCACCCAUCAAAAUUAUGUAAAAUCAGUGAUGUAAAUCAUAAACUCACGACUCUACUUUCCCCAAUGGUAUAAAGAUUAUACAAUAUUUUUAGAUUAAAAAUAAGUACCAAAAGACAGUAUAGGAGAACCUCAGAACCUCUAGGGGACCUCAGAUUUGGAAAUGAC